AUUAAUUCAAAUUAUUUAGUAGUUUUGUGCUACCUUAUUAUAUACAAUUUGAAAUUACCGUAAUUCGCCGAUGUGAGACGGAAUCCACAAGUUAGCAGCUAAUCGUCACACAUUCGGUCCCGCUAAAUUUGCGACCUCCUCAUCGCAACCGAAUCCAAUAUUGAUUAGCUAAUAUCUCAGUGAUAGGUCCCAGUCAAAACUUUAAAAGAAAAGACAAGGAAAUAUUGAGAAACAAUGAGUUGUAUAAUUUUUUUGAUUGAUAUCCCCGUAGCAGUACAGCAAGCUUCUUAUAAAAUAGAACUUAACAGCUAGUCCUAUUCCAACGCUACUAACAACCCAUAUUCCCAAAUAUCAGCAAAGAAUAUUUUAGCCAGAUAGUGUAGUUGACUUAUUCUAAGCACAAAAAGAAUAAUUCAAUAAUUAAUAAAUAAUUAGCAGCAGCAGCAAUCAGUUCAAUGAAGUCAACUCCGAUAUUUUCUAUUUGGCACAGGCAACCUCUUGGACCUUCUGGGUUUAUCAAUACUACCCCCAUUAGCUUGAACCUUGUCCUCAAGGUUUAUAGAAGAGAAACGCUCAAACAGAGCAGCAGUAUUCUCCCAAGUAGCGUCCUCUACUGGCAAAUCUUUCCACUGAACAAGACUUUCUUCCACAAAACGGGAACCUUGUUUAAUCCACUUGGUAUCAAGAAUCCCAUAUGGUUCCAAAAGAACAUCACCAUCAUCAUUGAAUGUAGGCAAAUUUGUUGAAAUGGGAACUUUCCCCUGCUUGCCAAUAUAUUUUUUAAGUAACGAAAUGUGAAAGACUGGAUGAAUUCUGGAACUCGCAGGAAGUUGUAAGCGAUAAGCGACUUUGCCAAGUUUAGCCAAUAUCAAAUAAGGCCCAUAGUAGCGACUGGCCAGCUUUUGAAAUGCCCUUCGAGCAACAGAAUGUUGUCGGUAUGGCUGUAAUUUCAAGUAAACCCAGUCGCCCACUUGAAAUUCAACUUCUUUCCGGUGUUUAUCAGCCCGUUGUUUCAUCUGGUUGACUGAACGGGACAAGUUAAGCUUGAGCUGUUCAAGGAUUUCAUCUCUUGUGGUUAACAUGUUAUCUGCUUCCUGAAUAGCAGUUGUGCCUGCUUCAUACCGUGGAAUGGUGGGUGGAGCCCUGCCAUAUAAAGCAACAAAUGGGGACAUUCCAAUAGAACUAUGGUAAGAAGUAUUAUACCAGAAUUUUGCCCAUGGAAGAAAAAGGCUCCAUCGUCGUGGUUGCUGGGAGGAAAAACAACGUAGAUACUGUUCAAGGCACCUGUUAACAACUUCGGAUUGGCCGUCUGUUUCAGGAUGGUAGGAGGAACUCAUGUGAAGCUUGGUCCCAGAAAGUUUGAAAAAUUCACGCCAAAAAUGGCUAAUGAAAACAGGAUCCCGAUCACUAAUAAUUGUCUUUGGCAUGCCAUGGAGUUUAACAACUCCAUCAACAAACUUCUCAGCCACAGUUUUAGCAGUAAAUGGGUGAGUUAAACUGAGAAAAUGAGCGUAUUUGCUCAAACGGUCUACCACCACCAGAACCACAUUUUUACCAUAGGAAGAGGGAAGCCCUUCGACGAAAUCCAUUAUUAUAUCAUCCCAAACUUGAUGAGGAAUCGACAAUGGCUGUAGCAGUCCAGCUGGAAAAGCGGUAGCAGUUUUAUUGGCUUGGCAAACUGAGCAGGAAGCUAUAUAAUCACGAACAGAUUUUGGCAAGGAAGGCCAAUAAAAUUGUGCAGCGAUCCUUUUGUAUGUCCGCAAAACACCAGAAUGACCACCACUGGGGGAAUCAUGAAAUUCCUGUAAGAGCUGAACAAUUAAAUCUGAGUCAGGAGGAAUUACAACACGAUUCUUAUAAAGAAUCAAACUCGCUCGCCAGAGAUAAGGUUUGCCUGGGUCAUCCGUAGCCAAUUUCCCAAUCCGAAUCAGGUAGGGAUGAGUGAUUGUUGCAAGCCGCAGUGAGUCCCACAGGGAAGUGUCCGAGCUAAAAAGUGCAUCAAGGCUAGGACUGCCUGCGAUUCUGGAUAAAGCAUCAGCGGCAUUAUUUUCCCGCCCUGGUUUGUACCGGAUUUCAUAGUCAUAUCCCAACAAUUUUGAAACCCACUUCUGCUGCUCAGGGGUAACAAUUUGUUGAUCCAACAAGUAUUUAAGGCUCCGCUGAUCUGUCUGAAUAAUAAAGCGACGGCCCAACAAGUACGGUCUCCAUGUGCGGAUUGCAUGAACAAUUGCGAACAUCUCCUUAGCAUAGGUGGACCAGGACCGCUUAGUAACUCCCAAAGUCUUGCUCAUAAAGGCUAUUGGCCGGCCUUGUUGAGAUAGAACUGCCCCAAUGCCUUUGUCUGAAGCAUCUGUGGAGAUAAUAAACUCAUCAUUGAAAUUUGGCAUAGCAAGAGUCGGGGUAGAGGACAUGGCUUUCUUCAAAUUUGAAAAAGCUUGUUCAGCAUCAUUAGACCAGGCAAAUCUUCCUUUCUUAAGUAAAUCUGUCAAAGGCCGAGCAAUCAAGCCGUAGUUUUGGACAAAUUUCCUGUAAUAGCCAGUAAGUCCUAAAAACCCACGUAAAUCAGAAACAUUAGUAGGUGUAGGCCAAUCAAGCAUGGCUUUUAUUUUCCCUUGAUCCACCAAUGCCCCUUCAGAAGAAACAAUAUGCCCCAAAUACUGAAUUUGUUGCUGCCCAAAUGCACAUUUACUGAUUUUGAUGAAAAAUUUAUGUUGCCGCAAUAUUUCAAAAGCUAAUUUAACAUGUUCAAGAUGCAUGGUCCAAUUGGGGCUAUAAAUUAAGAUGUCAUCAAAAAAUACUAGCACAAAUUUACGUAAAUAGGGUCGAAAAACAGAAUUCAUUAAAGCUUGAAAAGUGGAUGGAGCAUUACACAGUCCAAAGGGCAUAACCAGGUAUUCAUAGUGGCCGUUAUGGGUACGAAAUGCUGUUUUAUAUAUGUCAUCGGGAUGGAUCCGUACCUGAUAGAACCCUGCCCGAAGGUCUAUUUUGGUAAAGUAGACAGCCCCAUGAAGUUCAUCUAUCAUAUCAUCAAUUGUGGGUAUGGGAAAUCUAUCUUUUAUAGUUACAGUGUUUAGGGCUCUAUAAUCUGUACAGAAUCGCCAAGACCCGUCUUUUUUCUUUACUAGUAACAAAGGAGAAGAAAAAGGACUUGUGCUAGUCUGAAUUAGCCUCAAUUUAAGCAUGUCAUGAACUUGUUUCUCAAUUUCAGCUUUUUGAAAAUUUGCGUACCUGUAUGGCCGGACAUUAACAGGGUCUGUUCCCUCCUUCAAAAUAAUGCGAUGGUUGAUAUCUCUUUCAGGUGGCAGCUCAGUAGGGUGUUGAUAGAUAUCUGCAUAUUGAUUGAGCAACUGAAGCAUAUCCGGGUGAACCCCCGUUGGUGGAAGUUCUUGCUGUAACUGAAAACAAACUGCAAAUAUGGAGUAUCCCUGUCUUAAUUCCUUCGCCAUUUUUUUUUUGAGGAAUACUGUUGUAUAAGUGGACUGUUGAUUCCCUUGAGACAUUGAUACCUUCCACCCCAAUUGAAUUUCAUAGUAAGGUUUUUCCAGUUGCAGUUCACAUCUCCAAGUCGUUCGAGCCAUUGGAUGCCUAACACCAUAUCCAAUCCCAUCAGAGGUAAAGAAUACAAAGUAAUAUCAAAGGAAAUACCUUGAACAUCAAUAGUUGUUUGUUCAAAUUUCGUCGUGCACGGAAGGUGACCUCCAUUGGCGACUUUCACUCUACUGCAUUUAAUUUGAGUUGCUGGUAAUUUAAGGGAUUCUGCCAGUUUCUCAUUUAUGAAAUUAUGGGUAGAGCCAUUGUCAAUGAGAGCAAUCAUCACCGUUGAUCCCAUGGUUAUCCGUACUCGCAUAGUUUGAGCAGUCGACCAACCAUUGAGAGCAUGAAGGGAAAUUUCCAGUUCAUCCUCACCUUCGUCAUCGUCGUCCUCUGUACCACCAUCUAAUAGAAGUAGCUGAGGUUUUGCACACCUGUGCCUUGGAAUGAAUUUUGCGUCACAGUUAAAGAGAGUCCAGCAGAUCGUCGCUUUUGCAUCUCUUCCCAUGAGAGACGCUUGACUGGCGGCGUAGCCUUAUCUUUGGUCGGGGAAAGAGGAUUCGACGAACUAAAUGUUCGAAAAGGUUUUUUCUGCCGCUGUAAUUGUUCAUCACGCAUCCGGGCAUAAUUAAUUGCGUCUUUAAGCAUCUUGGGUUUAAACAUCCGAAUCCCGUCCGAAAUCUCUGUUUUGAGUCCGCCCAUGAAUGUUCCCACAAGGGCUUUCUGUGUCCACCCCUUCACUUUGUUACCCAACCGUUCAAAUUCGCGUUGGUAGUCUCUCAGUGAACCGACCUGUCGAAUCUUAGAUAAGGAUUCGUCAAAAUCGUCACAGUCAGUAGGUCCAAAACGGGACCAUAGUUCUUCAACAAAAACCUCCCAGGUGACCUCUUUAUCUUCCUCUCGAUACGUUCGUUUCAGCCACCUCCACCACUGAUUAGCUUCCCCUUGGAGAUGGUAAGAAGCUAAAUAUACCUUUUCUGAAGGAUCAGUUUUCUGGUAGUCGAAGAACUGAUCGACUUUGGUCAUCCAUUCUGUCGGGUCAUCGCCAGAAAAUUUGGGAAACUCGAUUUUUGCGAGUUUGGAAGCAAAAAUCGGCAUACCUCCUUCCCGUGACUCCUCAUUGUUAGAUCGAGUUUGGCUAUGAUCACCCACACUGCUAACUCCCUCUUUAUUAGAGACUGCUAUAUCAGAAAAUCUUGUGAUAGCCGCUUCAAUCUGCUGUAACUUCGAGGAAAGCCCCUUGUCUAAAUUGCUAAUAGUAGUUUGGAGCUUACCCAUGGUGUCAUUAAGUGUUUCCACAGCGGCCUCCAGAUUUUCAAUUCGUUCCUUGUUUGAUGCCAUGAGGCAAAGAAAGGGGAAAGAGGGAAAAGAAAAAAUAAAUAAAUAAAUAAUUUAGGAAGGGAAAAGGAAGCUCUGAUACCAAUUGAUAGGUCCCAGUCAAAGCUUUAAAAGAAAAGACAAGGAAAUAUUGAGAAACAAUUAGUUGUAUAAUUUUUUUGAUUGAUAUCCCCCGUAGCAGUACAG
rnacentral:lncRNA from 1 species